AACUCCAGCAGCGCGGUCGCCGAGGCAAAAUCUGUACUCGGGAGCAAAAUCUGUACUCGGGGGCAAAAUCCACAUUCGGAAGCAGAAUCCACACUGGGGGACAAAGGCAGUAAGUGGAAGGGACGCGCUCCGAGGGCUGCGGGGAGAUCAGCCUUACCUGCCAUCCCGCUCCGAUCUCCGCGCCCCGCUCCGCCGCUCCCGCCCCGGCAGCUGCUGCUCCGGACUAAAGCUGAUCUCCGGAAGGAUGUGGUUCACCGGCAACUUCUCUUCUGAAAUACGACGGCUUUCAGAUCCCUACAGUUGAAUGGGGUUAAAUGGGGGUACCCGGUGUGGCCUCCCUCGGUACAAAGGCGGGGCUCUUUUGUUGGAAGGGUUUCCAGAAAUUGUAUGCUGAACCUUCCAGAUGUAGGGCCAGUUCUGGAUGGAAGGGGGUUCAAGCAAAAAGAGAAAGUGGGAGUGGUUGGGAAAAGCCCGGUGGAGAUCAAGAAUAAGUGCUCCAGCCUUAAUUUUGGUCCCUGGUCCUCAGCAAUGUGUGCAGGUGGAGCUGGGUGUGGAGGCAUCCCCAGGAAGUGUGUGACUGAGCCCAGACCCAGCACAGGGCUUCUUGGCAGGGAGCCUUCCUCCAGCCCAGCUCCAGCAGGCACAGCCACCCCAGGAGCAGGGCUGGAGUGCCCCAAUGGACACACAAAGGACUGCUCUCACCACUGCCAUGUUCCUUCUUGCCCAAACCAGCCCCGUGCUACGAGGACAAGGAGGGGUCCAAGAGAGGUGAAAAUCAACAAAGUGUAGAACAAGCUCCAGGGACGAAUCAAGCCUCCCACCAUAAAAGAGCUGUAGGUUUCACCCUGGACCCAAAAUCAUAGAAUCACAGAAUUAAACAUUUGAGUUGGAAGGGACCCUUAGAGGCCACCCAGUCCAACUCCCCUGCAAUGAAAAGGGACACCCACAGCUCUACCAAGGUGCUCAGAGCCUCUCCAGCCUGAACUUGGAUGUCUCCAGGGAUGGGGCAUCCACCACCUGCAUGACCCAAACCUUUCUGUUUCUCCUGCAGGGGCUGGUGGAGGCACUUCCUCUGGUCCCCACCAUGUCCUUUUCAGAGUUGAGCACAACCCCAUCUAAGACAAGUUUAGAGACUCACUCCCAACA